rnacentral:rRNA from 1 species
UACAGAGGUCUCAAGCGUUGUUCGGAUUCAUUGGGCGUAAAGGGUGCGUAGGUGGCGCGGUAAGUCGGGUGUGAAAUUUCGGAGCUUAACUCCGAAACUGCAUUCGAUACUGCCGUGCUUGAGGACUGGAGAGGAGACUGGAAUUUACGGUGUAGCAGUGAAAUGCGUAGAUAUCGUAAGGAAGACCAGUGGCGAAGGCGGGUCUCUGGACAGUUCCUGACACUGAGGCGCGAAGGCCAGGGGAGCAAACGGG